GACGAACGCUGGCGGCGUGCCUAAUACAUGCAAGUAGGACGCAGUUGCGAACGUGUGAGUAACGCGUAGGUAACUGCCUCUUAGUGGGGGAUAACUAUUGGAAACGAUAGCUAAUACCGCAUACUAGUAGAUGGACCUGCGUUGUAUUAGCUAGUAGGUAGGGUAAUGGCCUAACUAGGCAACGAUACAUAGCCGACCUGGAGGGGUUGGCGUGCACACUGGGGCUGAGAGACGGCCCAGACGUCUACGGGAGGCGGCCGUAGGGGAUCUUCGGGAAUGGGGGGAACCCUGACCGAGAAACGCCGCGUGGGUGAAGAAGGUUUUCGGAUCGGAAAGCUAUGUUGUUAAGGAAGCGGUAAUUAAAGAGAAAGGGACGGCUAACUACGUGCCAGCAGCCGCGGUAAUAC
rnacentral:rRNA from 1 species